CCCUUAGAUGUUCUGGGCCGCACACGCGCUACACUGAAGGAGGCAGCGUGUACUCCUGGAUCGAAAGAUUUGGGUAACCCGCGAAUCUCCUUCGUGCUAGGGAUUGAGGUUUGCAAUUAUCCUUCAUGAACGAGGAAUUCCCAGUAAGUGCAAGUCAUAAGCUUGCGCUGACUACGUCCCUGCCCUUUGUACACACCGCCCGUCGCUACUACCGAUUAAAUGAUUUAGUGAGGACUUCGGACUGGGACCGAUGCGGCUUUCGGGCUGCGUCGGUAUUCUGGAAAGAUGUCCAAACUGUAUCAUUUAGAGGAAGUAAAAGUCGUAACA
rnacentral:rRNA from 1 species